AGACCCAAUGAUUCCAGGCAAUUACAUUGAUCUCCCUACCGACAUAAGAUCCAGCAAAGAAUUAACAUCAGCUAUGGCUAGCAAACAAUUUCUGUUAAAAGUGUAAAUGAGCAUUCCCCUGUAGCUUGCAAAUGAGCAUUACACAAGCUCUUGCAUUUAGUUAGAGCCUGGGUUAGCAGGAAGAAACAAAUAAAAUGUAAAUAAAGAAUAGCUUACCUUCAGACUUCGGUACAUGUUUUUUCCUAAAAAGGCAGGGAAGAUGAACAAAAUAUGUAUACUCAGUAGUUGGUCUUGAUGACUUAACAACCUAACAACAGCAGCAAAAGAAUACAUUAGAUUCAGAAAAUCACCUAUUGUAGCAAGCCAUGAAUCGACCAUUUGAAUUAUCUGUCGAGGAUAAUGACAACAACAGGGAAAACACACAUUAAAAUCACAGACCACAAAUUGACACAUAGG
rnacentral:lncRNA from 1 species